AGGAUGAACGCUGGCGGUGUGCCUAAUACAUGCAAGUCGAGCGGUAAGGCCCCUUCGGGGUACACGAGCGGCGGACGGCUGAGUAACACGUAGGAACAUACCCCAAAGUGAGGGAUAAGCACCAGAAAUGGUGUCUAAUACCGCAUGUGCUCUAAGGAGUAAAGCUUCGGCGCUUUGGGAAUGGCCUGCGCAUGAUUAGCUUGUUGGUGAGGUAAUAGCUCACCAAGGCGACGAUCAUUAGCUGGUCUGAGAGGAUGAUCAGCCAGACUGGGACUGAGACACGGCCCAGACUCCUACGGGAGGCAGCAGUAGGGAAUUUUCCACAAUGGGCGAAAGCCUGAUGGAGCAACACCGCGUGCAGGAUGAAGGCCUUAGGGUCGUAAACUGCUUUUAUAUGUGACGAUUAUGACGGUAGCAUAUGAAUAAGGAUCGGCUAACUCCGUGCCAGCAGCCGC
rnacentral:rRNA from 1 species